CCUCCCUGUUCACAACAGGAGGUCGUGGCACGCAUCCGACCACCAUGGCCGCGGCUGUGGAUGCGUGUUGGACAUCCCGCGGCUUACCCCGGCGCCUACUUGACGCCUCCAGCCCCCCUCUCCCUCCCUGGUAACCCAAGUCUCCAAAUCCCGCUCUCCCUCGCUCAUAUCCGAUGAACUGGAAGAGACCGAGCUCGCGGUCAUCGUCAUCGUCGUCGAUCCCGCGGCCACCGGCCUCCAUUCGUCGCGCCAAGACGUCGAGGAACUCCGCCAUCGUCGUCUCCGUCGCCCUCGCCUAUCGGUUGGAGCUCGGACGACCUACUACCUCGCCAUCGCGCGGUCUUCUCCGCCACGGCAGCCGCAUCUCGUCGACGAGCGCGACGCGUCCGGCCACCUAGAGUCGUCCUCGGGCCGUCCCUGCAACGGCAAUGAUGCGUCCCUGGAGCCAAAUGCCACCACCGAUGGAUGAUACUACAUGGAGGCCGCCGCCGACCAGGAGUAGUUAGGAGGUCCCAGGCAGGAGGCCUUGCCUCUUCGAUCGUGUUGCUUUUGUGUUUGCCUUCUUAAGGCAUCCUUGUUUAAAUUAUGUCUGUGCUCAGAUAUUGUUGCUUCCGCUGACUCUCUUGUGUAUCGAGCUUGUAUUCGAGCCCUUGAGGCCCCUGACUUGUAAUAUGAAGCUUGUAUUAUUUCA